GCGUUGUUCGGAAUUAUUGGGCGUAAAGGGCAUGUAGGCGGUUCGGUAAGUUAAAGGUGAAAUGCCAGGGCUUAACCCUGGAGCUGCUUUUAAUACUGCCAGACUCGAGUCCGGGAGAGGAUAGCGGAAUUCCUAGUGUAGAGGUGAAAUUCGUAGAUAUUAGGAGGAACACCAGUGGCGAAGGCGGCUAUCUGGUCCGGUACUGACGCUGAGGUGCGAAAG
rnacentral:rRNA from 1 species